AUGGAUUAAGCGCAGUAAUGGAACGUAUCUUUACAAACAUGAGCUAUUACAACUGCUGCGAAAUAUUGCAAAUAGCACAAGUCAAAUCGCAUUACAGAAAAACAUUGAAUCAUUGAAAAACAGCCAUCUGUGGAAAGAAUCGCUGCAACUGCAGAAAUACUUUGAUGAAUUUUGGGGAUUACACUUGCAGAAAUGGGUCCGUUUUUACAGGGAUGAAUCGUUGCGCGUUGCCAUUUAUACAAACAACAGAGUGGAAAGGCGAAAUAACUGGUUAAAGCAUUCAUAUUUAGAGGACAGACGAAAUCAUUCGAUAAGUGAUCUCGUCAAUAUAUUACUAACACAGUUCCUGCCUGAUAGCUACAAAAAGUAUUGUGCAUACUGUUUUUUUCAUAAGAUGUUCGCAAUCAGUGAGCUUUAACGAUAAUCAAAAAAGUAUAAGUGUACUUACAAUUUUCUCUUUAUAGAUAUAAGGAACAGAAUAUCAAAUCAUCCCAUUCGUACAAGUCCAACAGCAAACAAAUCCCAAAGUUCCUGCACAAUAGACCAAACACAACAGAUUCUUGCUCCAACUCAAUCCAAAAUGUUAGAAAUAAGUGUGUUCAAAAAGUCAAACAAAUGCAGGAUGAGCUUUACAUUUUGGAUGAUGAGAACGUUUUGGACAAAACCCUGGAGAUGUUACAAGAGGUAAUACAAUAAACAAGAAAAAAUCAUCCUGAGGAAAAUGGAAUUUCAUUGAAAAACAAGUCUUUAUCUCCAAAAAAGAAACAAAUUUCAAAGUGUAGGUCACAAUCUGCUUUGCCAAAACGAAAAUGCAAGAGGUGUCCAGGUAAACGAGUGGGAAGAGCAGCUGAU